GUUGAACGCUGGCGGAAUGCUUUACAUAUGCAAGUCGAGCGGCAGCGCGGGGGCAACCCUGGCGGCGAGCGGCGAACGGGUGAGUAAUGUAUCGGAACGUACCCAGUCGUGGGGAUAACUAUCCGAAAGGAUAGCUAAUACCGCAUACGACCUGAGGGUGAAAGCGGGGGACCGUAAGGCCUCGCGCGAUUGGAGCGGCCGAUAUCGGAUUAGCUAGUUGGUGAGGUAAAGGCUCACCAAGGCGACGAUCCGUAGCUGGUCUGAGAGGACGACCAGCCACACUGGAACUGAGACACGGUCCAGACUCCUACGGGAGGCAGCAGUGGGGAAUUUUUGGACAAUGGGGGGCAACCCUGAUCCAGCCAUUCCGCGUGAGUGAAGAAGGCCUUCGGGUUGUAAAGGACUCUUUCUAGCAGGAACGAAACGG
rnacentral:rRNA from 1 species